rnacentral:lncRNA from 1 species
GGAAGCUAUCAGAAUACACGCAAAUCUUUAUUCGAUGUGGAGUGGUAGCGAGCAUUUACCGUUUAUACGUCUGCCCGAAUCACAAGAACCAUUAGACGAUAGCGAUACUGACGAUCCACCUACUGAAAAAAGUAUUGGUGUACAUUUUCCAAAGCCUACUUAGACUUUUCCCUAAUUAGCUAUAUUCCAAAUUACUGAUUUCUUGUUCGAUUUGUCAAAGAUACCCGAAGAUCACGUUUCACGUACUUACAUGAUUGUUUGAUGUAAUCGAUAUCUGGUGGUGUGUCGAUGUUUAUUAUAGAUGUCUGCGAAUGGUUUUAGGCUGGUCCUAAAACUACCUUUUUUAUAGUUUUUAUCAUAUAUGACUGUCAUAUUUAAAAUUCGUGUAUUUAUGAACCAUUUCUUUUAUAGAUGAGGUAACAAAAAUAAGGUUUUUUUUUUCUGAAAAAUGGCUUUGAUAGAGCCAGUGGACCGUGAUAGUGACGUCAAAACGUCAAAAAGGAUUCCAAACAAAACAAAGAUGUGUCAAUUGAUUAUACACGUGGUUUGUGUAAUAAUAGGGAACUUGCAUAAAAAUUAUAUUCCAGAAAUAUUACUGAUAAACGUUUUUUAAUGCUGUUAAAAGAAUCCCAGUUUACAAAAAAACUCAUAUUUUAUUAUUAUGAAAUAAAUAUAAGCAAUUAAAAACUGCAGAAUUUAAAUUAUUCUUUCAACGGGCCGAAUCGGUUGUGACGUCAGACAGUUUGUUGGUCGUCCCUAUAAACGGGCGAAAGCGAUAAGUAUGGCAACGCUGCAACGGUACAUUAUGUGAUAAAAUCAUAAGGAAUCAUAAAAUCGUAAAGAACUAAAAAGAAUUAGUAUUAAAAACAUAAGGUUGUUUGUAAUACUAUAGUAAAUACCUAUUAUAUUGUAUAUUGCAUUAAUAUAACGUGUGAUCCAAAAUUAUUGUCACCAUAGGUGGCUCUGAUCCACAGAGAUAGCUAUACAGUGCAUGUCUAUUAUAUUAAUUCAGAUAUACUUUCCAGUUUACGUCAACUUUGGCAGAUACUUGUCAGUGUACGUACGUCAACUUACAAAACACUAUAAUUGAACAUAAAAAGUAGCAGAGGAAGCAACAUUUUAACUUUAUACGAAUUAAAAGGUCUUUAGAUUGGGUAUAUUUCAACGUGUUUUCAAUCUUUAUUCUUUGUUUGGAAAAGUUAUCAUAACAACACUGAAUAUAGCCGCAGUUGGCCGUGACGUCACACUCCGGCGGUCUUUCAGAUUAAAACAAGACAUACGCAAUUUUUUCCACGGAUAGCUUUGAUCCCAAUAAUUGAGGAUCGCUCGUUAAUAUAUUAUAUUAGGUAUUAUAUAAUUGCAUUAUAUUAUUAUUGCAUUGUGUAGCAAAGAAGUGAACAUAAAAUAAGUACUUAUUUAACUGAUAUGUAGAUGAAAAUAGAGUCUGAUUUUUAUACUCACAUUAAAAUGAUCCUCACAUGUAUUCUGUGAAAUAUCUUUCUCAUUUUUUUUUUGCAUGCCUUUAACCAUUUUAAACGAUGUUUUUGAUCUUGACUUACAUGAAUAAAUAGUAUUCAGGGCGUUUUAUAAGUGGUAUUGGAACACAUGGAAUGUAUACAAUAUUUGUAGUAUUGUUUUUGUGUUGCUUCGAUCCAGAUUUAGCCAUACGGCUCACACUCCCUCUAAGUGGAAAAUUGACUCAUCCCAGAUACCUACGGUAUCAAAAGGAUUGAGCUCUGGUGGGACUCUUUCGGUGUUAUCGAGCCCUAGGUGACUUGGUAUGCUGAAGUAUCUCCCAGAAAUUUUCGUACAGUUGCUUCGAUUAUUAUUAUCAAUAUUAUUAAAGCACAGAUAAAAACAAAUUAUACACGAAAAAAAUCUAACUUUCAAAACACAAUCUUUUUAAAUCAACGAACUGUCAAUUUUAAAUACAAACAAUCUUCCAGUGUUGCCAGUUCUUUGUUCUCUUAUCCUGGAACGAGCAGCGUGACGUCACAUAGUGUGCUGCGCUUUUCGUGUUGGAUAGCUGGCGAUCACAACUUAAAUGUUCAUUGUAAUUUAAAUAUUGCGAUUUGAGGGUUGAUAUUUGGUAUGUGUUGUUUAUAUAUGUAGACAAAUAUAAUAAAUAAAUAUAAAGUACAAGCAAUAUAUUCCAUUUAUAAAAACGAAAAUAAAACUUAGCCGCAAAAACCACGUGUGUCUGACAGCUGUUUAUUUUGUUUGGAAACCUUUUUCAGAGUAGCCAACAUUGAUUUGACGUCACGACUAUCACGGUCCAUUAGCCAGACUUGUUUUUGAUUGAUUGCAGAGUCAUAGUCAGAAAUUUCUUAAGAAUAAAUUG